CAGGUACAGUCAGGAAAUUGUGUCAAGUGAAGACGGGAAUCUCCGUGUGAUACGAGGUAGAGGUGAUGUGAGAAACUCGCAUAGAUCACAUGACCACACCAAUGAGAAUGGAGGCGGACCGGAAUCACAUGACUGAGAAGAUACUAAACCUCACCCUGGAGAUCAUCUACCUGCUGACUGGAGAGAGAUUUCCUCUUGUGAAGUCC